AUGGCCUCCCGCACGCCCUACUCCUCUCACCCCUCCCCUUCCCUCACCCAACCAAACCGCACGUCCAUGGCCACAUCCCAGCUCGAUCUCGUCGGGAACGAGGCCACCUGCAACCACCGGCCUCCAUCAAUCCAACCAUCCAUCCAUGCCCGCGGAAGCACUCCCACCGCCCGUGCUCCUUCCCCAGCAGCGAGAGGCUUCGAGAGAGCCGAGGCGCGCCCCGAGCGGGGCGAUCCACCGUCCGUCCCAACCUCCUCCACCCACCUCCUUCUGUUUUCUGCGGGUCCUGCAGAUGGCGGUGACGGGCGUCGGCGCCGGGUGGCUCGCCCCAGCGUCCGCCUACGCGCUGAUCCGAUGACGGCGGCCCGGGCGUCCGCCUGCAUCGUCCGCACGCGUCUCCGGCGCGUCACGCGGGGCCGCUACGUCGUCGAGCUCAGCAGGGAGGGCCCCGCGGCGCGCCCCGCGCAGCAGCAGCAGCUGGCCCCGCCCGUCAUGCCUGGCUUCCUCGCGCCGCCCCUGCCCGCACCUGCCCAGUCGCCGGCCCCGACGCAGCCGAGACGGACUUCAGGAAGGCGCUGGACUCGGCGCUGUUCCGACGGUGGCUAG
rnacentral:rRNA from 1 species